rnacentral:rRNA from 1 species
GAUGAACGCUAGCGGCAGGCCUAAUACAUGCAAGACGAACGGUAAGUUGAGUAGCAAUACUUAGCCAAGAGUGUCGUACGGGUGCGUAACACGUAUGCAACCUACCCUAUACAGGAGGAUAGCCUAGGGAAACCUGGAUUAACCCUUCAUAGUAUUAUUGGAUGGCAUCAUUUGAUAAUUAAAACUGAGGUGGUAUAGGAUGGGCAUGCGUCUGAUUAGUUAGUUGGCGGGGUAAUGGCCCACCAAGACGAUGAUCAGUAGGGGUUCUGAGAGGAAGAUCCCCCACACUGGCACUGAGAUACGGGCCAGACUCCUACGGGAGGCAGCAGUAGGGAAUAUUGGUCAAUGGAUGCAAGUCUGAACCAGCCAUGCCGCGUGCAGGAAGAAGGCCUUCUGGGUUGUAAACUGCUUUUGCCAGGGGAUAAAUUUCCAUGCGUGGAAAACUGAAGGUACCUGGUGAAUAAGCCACGGCUAACUACGUGCCAGCAGCCGCGGUAAU